CAGUCGCCACGGUAAUACGGAAGGUCCAGGUGUUAUCCGGAUUUAUUGGGUUUAAAGGGAGCGUAGGCCGCAGGUUAAGUGUGUUGUGAAAAGCAGUCGCCCAACGUCUGCCUUGCAGCGCAAACUGUCCUGCUUGAGUGCGCACAACGCAGGCGGAAUUCGUCGUGUAGCGGUGAAAUGCUUAGAUAUGACGAAGAACUCCGAUUGCGAAGGCAGCUUGCGGGAGCGCAACUGACGCUGAAGCUCGAAAGUGCGGGUAUCGAACAGGAUUAGAUACCCGUGUAGUCCCUGUCUCUUAUAU
rnacentral:rRNA from 1 species